UACGUAGGUGGCAAGCGUUGUCCGGAUUUACUGGGCGUAAAGCGCACGUAGGCGGCUUUGCAAGUCAGAGGUGAAAGCCCGGGGCUCAACCCCGGAAUAGCCUUUGGGACUGCAUCGCUAGAAUUGUGGAGAGGUAAGUGGAAUUCCGAGUGUAGAGGUGAAAUUCGUAGAUAUUCGGAAGAACACCAGUGGCGAAGGCGACUUACUGGACACAUAUUGACGCUGAGGUGCGAAAGCGUGGGGAGCAAACAGG
rnacentral:rRNA from 1 species